CCGAGUGCGGGCCCUCUGGGUCCAACCUCCCAUCCGUGUCUAUCUGUACCCUGUUGCUUCGGCGUGGCCACGGCCCGCCGAAGACUAACAUUUGAACACUGUCUGAAGUUUGCAGUCUGAGUUUUUAGUUAAACAAUAAUUAAAACUUUCAACAACGGAUCUCUUGGUUCCGGCAUCGAUGAAGAACGCAGCGAAAUGCGAUAAUUAAUGUGAAUUGCAGAAUUCAGUGAAUCAUCGAGUCUUUGAACGCACAUUGCGCCCCCUGGUAUUCCGGGGGGCAUGCCUGUCCGAGCGUCAUUGCUGCCCUCAAGCACGGCUUGUGUGUUGGGCUUCCGUCCCUGGUAACGGGGACGGGCCCAAAAGGCAGUGGCGGCACCAUGUCUGGUCCUCGAGCGUAUGGGGCUUUGUCACCCGCUCCCGUAGGUCCAGCUGGCAGCUAGCCUCGCAACCAAUCUUUUUAACCAGGUUUGACCUCGGAUCAGGUAGGGAUACCCG
rnacentral:rRNA from 1 species